UUUUUCCCACCCUUAAACCUACGGGCGUGAAACCUCAUGGGCGCACCCAUUUUCUAGGUGAAAAUUUCUCGUACACCCUUAAUUUAUGAAAUUAGGUUCUAUCACAUCUUUUUUCCUUUAAACCCCAUUUUCCUUCAGUUAGAGAAAGAGAGGCGAGAUAUUCAAAGAGUUGAAGAGGGGAUCAACAAAUUACAAGAGGGUUGGCAGCAAAAGCAUCAGCAGAAGCAAAUCCAUAGCAAUGGAGUUCUUGUAAAAAUUAGGGUUUUUUUUUUCUUUUUCUGAUGCCGAUUCAGUUAAUGGAUUCCGGUGGCUGCUGUCAAAUUUGUUAGAGUGAAUUCAAGAAGGGCGGGAAGGAUAUGUAUUUGCUGGACAUGGAAUUGAAGACGAGAUGGAAUCAGAAAUAGGGUAUCAAUCUAUUUUGGAUUUGGUCGAAAAUUAAUGUGUUGCCAUUGAUUUUGUGAUAAAACACGGUGAUGCUGAGAUUCAAAGGUGUUCCUGAAUCUAAUAUUAUUAAAUAUCUAAUUUGAAGAGAUGAAUAUGUAUUGGUGACAAUAGAUGAGCUAAUUGGUGAAUUUGACACCCGAUUUUGUCAUCAUCUCUUUCGUAAUCAAAUAUUUAAUUGUUGUUGGGAAUGAGGUGUCUGAGUCUCAUUGAUGGCUAAAUGAUGGUGUUUUGAUAGCAAUUGAAUGAACAACAAAAUGGUUGUAUUCUAGAAGGUGAAAGAAUGUCUACUUCUCCAAGGUGAUUGAGUUGUAUAUCCUUGAUUUCAUUCUCAUUAGCAUUUGAAUCAAAUUUGCUGCCCAACUUGAAUUCAUGUUGGUUCUCAAUUUUCAUGAAUAAAUUUUUAGUCGUUCUUGCUCAUUAGAUCACAAAUUUAGUGGUGGAGCUGUUUUUCGUGUAUGGAGAUCAAUAUAUCUUUUAAAGAAAUCACCCGAGAGCUCUCAGAAAAGAUUGGUUCACUUUACAUUUUUUCUUCAUGAAAGCCGGUUUUGUGACUUGCUCAUUUUAUUGUAUGUAUUUUCUUUUGUUGUGCCUGGUUGGGUUUAAACAGAUCGAUGACUGCAACUAUGUUUUUGUAUGACUAACUAGUUUGAACGAGUUUGGUUUGUGAAGAAGUUGGUUUAUAUAGAACCUGUUGAGAGCAAGGAGGUUGAGGGAAAUUGUGUACAUACAAGUUGCCUGAAGGAGAGUUGUGGAUUUGACAGGCAAAUUUAAUGAAACCAUCUCUCAUGUAUGAACAAACUGAAGAACUUAUGUCAUGGAGUAGUUGCUGCUUGCUUUUUCGUCACUGGGUUAAUGUAGAACAAUUUGAUGUAAAAUGUGAAUUCUGGCUAUGGAAUGGAAGGAAAUAUAUUUGGGCGUGGUAAGCGUAGUUUGUCUAUUCAUUUUGGAAGUGUAUGUACGCUACUAGAAGACAUCCUCUCUUGUGCAGGCAACAGUUGAGAUAAGCCGAAGAAUCCAGUUAGUUGCUAGUAUGAACACUUAUUAGUUCUUCAUUGGAAAGCCCUGUCAAAAGAAAGAUGUAAUUUACAAGAGUUGAGAUAAGAUGUAAUUUACAAGCCAAGGUGUGACGCAUCCAUGAUAUGACAUCAAAAGAAAGUUAGUCACCUAUAGUUACGCAUAAA